rnacentral:rRNA from 1 species
AUGGCGACCGAGCUCGCCGCUGACGAGCCCCCCGCAGUGCACCUCCGCGUGACGGAGGAGGCACUCGCCACAGACACGGCGGACGAGAGCUGCGCGGCCGGCGAGGCUUGCGGCCUGAACACUGUCGACGACCUCCGCACCGCCUACAAGCCACCGUCGUUCGGCUCUGCCAGCGAGCUCUGCGCGGCCGUCAGGAUCUGCGGGAUCCCCACCGUCCCGGAGUUCUCCGCAACCGAGGCGCGGCAAAAGCCAGUGAGCAGCACACCUCCCUCCCCCUCUGUGAACCCUGCUUCAUUUUGUUCGUUCACAUCGUGUCUCCGUCCAACUCGAAUUCGUCCUGGCGGUGUGGAUCCUCUUGUUUUGUAA